AUGGCCCCGAUCAAGGCCGGCAGUUUUCUACAGCUGUUGGUUUCAAGCAGGAGCCUAAAGUGGCAACUUUCUAUGGUCUGUUGGCCAUUUCAGAACUUUAGAAAUGGAAUGAUCAAUUCAUUAGAAAGAAACAACU
ensembl:snoRNA small nucleolar RNA SNORA2/SNORA34 family